GACAGAGGCCACGAACGUUGUUCGGAAUCACUGGGCAUAAAGCGCACGUAGGCGGCUGGGUCCGUCCGAUGUGAAAGCCCCCGGCUCAACCGGGGAAUUGCAUCGGAUACAGCCCGGCUUGAGGACGGUUGGGGUGAGUGGAACUCCUGGUGGAGCGGUGAAAUGCGUAGAUAUCAGGAGGAACACCGGUGGCGAAAGCGGCGCACUGGACCGUAACUGACGCUGAGGUGCGAAAGCUAGGGGAGCAAACGGG
rnacentral:rRNA from 1 species